AGAGUUUGAUCCUGGUUCAGGAUGAACGCUAGCGAUAGGCUUAACACAUGCAAGUCGAGGGGCAGCGAGGGAGUGGCAACACUUCUGUCGGCGACCGGCGCACGGGUGAGUAACGCGUAUGCAACCUGCCCUUCACAGGGGGAUAACCGGGAGAAAUUCCGACUAAUACCGCAUACGUCCCCUGGGGGCAUCCCCUGGGGAUGAAAGAAUUAUCGGUGAAGGAUGGGCAUGCGUGAUAUUAGGUAGUUGGCGGGGCAACGGCCCACCAAGCCCACGAUAUCUAGGGGUUCUGAGAGGAAGGUCCCCCACAUUGGUACUGAGACACGGACCAAACGCCUACGGGAGGCA
rnacentral:rRNA from 1 species